ACAGAGAUAAAUAAAAAUUAAAGUAUUUAUUACCUCAGAAUACAAACAACAUAUAAUGAGAUACAAGGCCUUAAAUAGUGACAGAAGGAACAGGUUUAUGUGUAUGUGUAAUAUGUUUUCGGAUGUUUCCUUUGGCUCUGAGACAAGAUUAGCCUUCCUGCCCAAUCUACUGAAGGCUGGAAAGUAGUCCUGUUUAUAAAGGCUCGGGGCUUCUCACCCCAUUUCCUAGCUUGUCCCAACCAGAGUAGAAAGUUUAGCCUUCCAAAAUGUCUGCCUUUGUUGUACUAAGACUUCCCAGCCUGUCUUGUGAGCAUGUCUCAGAAAAGGCAGGCUGUGAGCAAAUACCUGCCAUCAUUUUAAACAUGACUGUCCACCAGUCUCCAGGUAGUUUUCUCUUCACUGCAUUGGCUUGGAAGCUCCUGGGCCUUUCAGAGGAGUUAGAUACCAGGACCACCCUGAGAUGGAGAACACGAUGGACCCCUAAUAUGAGAUCAUCAAGAUCAUCACUACUCACCCUAGAAGAGACAUGAAGAGCUCAUCCAGCAAAGCAGCAUCAUACCCAUCCUGCAUGGCCUUUCUUAAGAAUCAGAUACCAAUGACGACUCAUGUUCUGCCUCCAGGAAGCUACAGGGCUGAUAUGAAACACUCUGAAAUGUCUCCAUUCCUUACUCAGAAACUGAACUCACAGAGUUAUGGACAACAAGAAGAUUUCUGUUUUUAAAUAUUUGGGAGAUGCUCAGAUAUUGUGAUGAUGGGGGGCCAUAACUGCCUAAGUGGAAGAUAGCUAAUGGGGCAAAGCUAGGGCACUGUUUUGACAGCAGCCAAAAAAACCAAAAUAAAUAAACCAUGUGAAGAUUUCUCCUUAUAGCCACAGGAAAUUUGAGCCCACCAUGCUCCCAAAGCACCCUUCCUAGGACAUUGAAAACAGAGCCAGGAAAAAUAGGACAUAACCAAACAGCCCCAUGUUUCCCCAAGAUACUUUCUCCCACCUUACAAUGGAGAAGAGCAUUACCCCAACUACACCUCUGUUCAGGUUCUAGCUUUAAUGCAGGAAGCCUUUGGAUUUGCUAUAUUUAUUUAUAAUUUUAGCCAAUAAAAGUUGCAAUUUGGGGGAUAAAGGUUACUCAUUUUCAUUUUUAUCCUGUGACUUUUUAACAAAUUUUUCAAUAUUCUGUUUUAAUUUUUUGGUUGUGUGACUUCCUUUGUUUACUAAGCAUGUUCUUUCUUAUGACUACUUUAUGAAAAAUAAAUUGGUUCAGCUCUGUCA